AGUGAACGCUGGCGGUAGGCCUAACACAUGCAAGUCGAACGGCAGCACAGUAAGAGCUUGCUCUUACGGGUGGCGAGUGGCGGACGGGUGAGGAAUACAUCGGAAUCUACUUUUUCGUGGGGGAUAACGUAGGGAAACUUACGCUAAUACCGCAUACGACCUACGGGUGAAAGCAGGGGAUCUUCGGACCUUGCGCGAUUGAAUGAGCCGAUGUCGGAUUAGCUAGUUGGCGGGGUAAAGGCCCACCAAGGCGACGAUCCGUAGCUGGUCUGAGAGGAUGAUCAGCCCAACUGGAACUGAGACCCGGUCCAAACCCCUACGGGAGGCAGCAGUGGGGAAUAUUGGACAAUGGGCGCAAGCCUGAUCCAGCCAUACCGCGUGGGUGAAGAAGGCCUUCGGGUUGUAAAGCCCUUUUGUUGGGAAAGAAAAGCAGCAGGUUAAUACCCCGCUGUUCUGACGGUACCCAAAGAAUAAGCACCGGCUAACUUCGUG
rnacentral:rRNA from 1 species